GACGAACGUUGGCGGCGUGCUUAACACAUGCAAGUCGAACGGAAAGGCCCUGCUUUUGUGGGGUGCUCGAGUGGCGAACGGGUGAGUAACACGUGAGUAACCUGCCCUUGACUUUGGGAUAACUUCAGGAAACUGGGGCUAAUACCGGAUAGGAGCUCCUGCUGCAUGGUGGGGGUUGGAAAGUUUCGGCGGUUGGGGAUGGACUCGCGGCUUAUCAGCUUGUUGGUGGGGUAGUGGCUUACCAAGGCUUUGACGGGUAGCCGGCCUGAGAGGGUGACCGGCCACAUUGGGACUGAGAUACGGCCCAGACUCCUACGGGAGGCAGCAGUGGGGAAUAUUGCACAAUGGGCGGAAGCCUGAUGCAGCAACGCCGCGUGCGGGAUGACGGCCUUCGGGUUGUAAACCGCUUUCGCCUGUGACGAAGCGUGAGUGACGGUAAUGGGUAAAGAAGCACCGGCUAACUACGUGCCAGCAGCCGCGGUGAUACGUAGGGUGCGAGCGUUGUCCGGAUUUAUUGGGCGUAAAGGGCUCGUAGGUGGUUGAUCGCGUCGGAAGUGUAAUCUUGGGGCUUAACCCUGAGCGUGCUUUCGAUACGGGUUGACUUGAGGAAGGUAGGGGAGAAUGGAAUUCCUGGUGGAGCGGUGGAAUGCGCAGAUAUCAGGAGGAACACCAGUGGCGAAGGCGGUUCUCUGGGCCUUUCCUGACGCUGAGGAGCGAAAGCGUGGGGAGCGAACAGGCUUAGAUACCCUGGUAGUCCACGCCGUAAACGGUGGGUACUAGGUGUGGGGUCCAUUCCACGGGUUCCGUGCCGUAGCUAACGCUUUAAGUACCCCGCCUGGGGAGUACGGCCGCAAGGCUAAAACUCAAAGGAAUUGACGGGGCCCCGCACAAGCGGCGGAGCAUGCGGAUUAAUUCGAUGCAACGCGUAGAACCUUACCUGGGUUUGACAUGGAUCGGGAGUGCUCAGAGAUGGGUGUGCCUCUUUUGGGGUCGGUUCACAGGUGGUGCAUGGCUGUCGUCAGCUCGUGUCGUGAGAUGUUGGGUUAAGUCCCGCAACGAGCGCAACCCUUGUUCACUGUUGCCAGCACGUUAUGGUGGGGACUCAGUGGAGACCGCCGGGGUCAACUCGGAGGAAGGUGGGGAUGACGUCAAGUCAUCAUGCCCCUUAUGUCCAGGGCUUCACGCAUGCUACAAUGGCUGGUACAGAGAGUGGCGAGCCUGUGAGGGUGAGCGAAUCUCGGAAAGCCGGUCUCAGUUCGGAUUGGGGUCUGCAACUCGACCUCAUGAAGUCGGAGUCGCUAGUAAUCGCAGAUCAGCAACGCUGCGGUGAAUACGUUCCCGGGGCU
rnacentral:rRNA from 1 species